UUCUGGGUAGCCUAGUGGACAUGGCAUCUGCCCGGUAAGCGGAACACUGUGGUUUCGAUUCCCAUCCCUGGACA
rnacentral:tRNA from 1 species